CAGUCGCCGCGGGAAUACGAAGGGUGCAAGCGUUAAUCGGAAUUACUGGGCGUAAAGCGUGCGCAGGCGGUUCGCUAAGACAGAUGUGAAAUCCCCGGGCUUAACCUGGGAACUGCAUUUGUGACUGGCGGGCUAGAGUAUGGCAGAGGGGGGUAGAAUUCCACGUGUAGCAGUGAAAUGCGUAGAGACGUGGAGGAAUACCGAUGGCGAAGGCAGCCCCCUGGGCCAAUACUGACGCUCAUGCACGAAAGCGUGGGGAGCAAACAGGAUUAGAUACCCGCGUAGUCCCUGUCUCUUAUAC
rnacentral:rRNA from 1 species